GGGCUUUUGGCACAGUUGGUAGCGCGCAUGCUUCGCACGGGUGACUGCAUGAGGUCGUGGGUUCGACUCCCACAGAGUCCA